UACGGAGGGUGCGAGCGUUGUCCGGAAUCACUGGGCGUAAAGGGCGCGUAGGCGGCUUCUCAAGCGUGUGGUGAAAGUCCGGGGCUCAACCCCGGAUCGGCCGUGCGGACUGGGGAGCUCGAGUUCUGUAGAGGCGGGUGGAAUUCCGGGUGUAGCGGUGGAAUGCGUAGAGAUCCGGAAGAACACCGGUGGCGAAGGCGGCCCGCUGGGCAGAGACUGACGCUGAGGCGCGGACAGCGUG
rnacentral:rRNA from 1 species